UGGAGACACCGGCUAGGCCAGGGGGCCUGCCCUUGGGACAGGUCCAGACCCAUGGAGCCCCCCGGGAGGAGCAGCAGGUCCACAGCGUCUCAUACUCUACACCAGUAUUGCUGUCCUACUCAGGUCCUUGACUCCAUGAAGCUUACCCCCUCAGGCAGGCUGGCAGAGAGCAGAUCCCCCAUGGGACCCUGUCCCCUGCUUCAGGAACCAGAUGGGCAAGCAUCGUGCCCCUUCCUCCCCCCACCUUCUUCUUGGAAUUCCCAUCCCCACUGCUGUCUCCUCUGGACUCCAGCCCCUGAAUUAAAGAGAGCUGGAGCCCUAGGUCUGACUAAAAUGUGGGAGAAGCAGAGCUUGGAGCUUGGAGCUUGGAACCUGGACCCUCCCGUACCCGCACUCCCACUUCCCAGGCACCCUGGAGCCUGCCACUACUGGAGAGGUCUCCAAAUGACAUCCCAAGGACCUACCUCUGUCCUCUGUGAGCACAAACAGAGAUGCAGGGUGCCUAGGGCUCAGAGGACCAGACGGGGGCGGGACCCAGCCUGCCUAGUUCCCUGUCGUUUGUUCCCUUGCUGUGGCCAUUGCUGCCAUCUCCUCCACUGCUUGAAGGCCUCACCCCAUGCCCUCUGCCACUCCCAUAGUGCUCUGUAAAUAUUAUCAGGAGGAAAAGGCCUCUCAGAGUGCGUGUUGCUGUGUACAAAGGAAUUUCCAUCAAUAAAAGCUGAUCUCUUC
rnacentral:sRNA from 1 species